UUGAACAGGAGGAAAUCAAGGAAUAAUAAAAGCGUAAGCUUUCCUAGUGGGAUACUUGUGCUGUUGAUAGUUUGGACAACAGUAGGGUUACGGACUGCCCCAGAUUGUCCUCUCAGCGGCCAAAAUAUCAUAAUAGAACGGACUUUUGGCAAUGUUACUGAAAAAAAAGGCAAUAAUGACUUGGUUGUGAAUACCCAGAGCACGAUACAUCCAUGCUGACAAAGAACGGCGGUAAUGACUUGGUUGUAAACACCUAGAGCACGAUACAUCCAUGCUGACACAGGCAGAAAUGACUUGGUUGUGAACACCCAGAGCGUGAUACAUCCAUGCUGACACAGAUAGGCAGUAAUGACUUGGUUGUGAACACCCAGAGCAAAAUACAUCUGUGCUGACACAGAAAGGCAGUAAUGACUUGGUUGUGAACAUCCAGAGCACAAUACAUCCAUGCUGACACAGAAAGGCAGUAAUGACUUGGCUGUAAACACCCAGAGCACUAUACAUCCAUGCUGACACAGAAAGGCAGUGAUGACUAUGCUGUGAACACCCACAGCACAUUACAUCCAUGCUGAAACAGAAAGGAAGUCAUGACUAUGCAGUGAACACCCAGAGCAAGAUAUAUCCAUGCUGACACAGAAAGGAAGUAAUGACUAUGCUGUGAACACCCAGAGCAUGAUAUAUCCAUGCUGACACAGAAAGACAGUAAUGACUAUGCUGUGAACACCCAGAGCAAAAUACAUCCAUGCUGACACAGAAAGGCAGUAAUGACUUGGUUGGGAACACCCAGCGCACAAUAAAUCCAUGCUGACACAGAAAGGCAGUAAUGACUUGGCUGUGAACAUUGAACACGAUACACCCAUGCCGACACAGAAAGGCAGUAAUGACUUGACUGUGAACAUAGAGCACAAUACAUCCAUGUUGAAACAGAAAGGCAGUCAUGACUAUUCUUUGAACACCCAGAGCACGAUGUAUCCAUGCUGACACAGAAUGGCAGUAAUGACUAUGCUGUGAACACCCAGAGCAAGAUAUAUUCAUGCUGACACAGAAAGGCAGUAAUGACUAUGCUGUGAACCCCCAGAGCAAGAUAUAUCCAUGCUGACACAGAAAGGAAGUAAUGACUAUGCUGUGAACACCCAGAGCAAGAUAUAUCCAUGCUGACACAGAAAGGCAGUAAUGACUAUGCUGUGAACACCCAGAGCACAAUACAUCCAUGCUGACACAGAAAGGCAGUAAUGACUUGGUUGGGAACACCCAGAGCACAAUAAAUCCAUGCUGACACAAAAAGGCAGUAAUGACUUGGCUGUGAACACCCAGAACACGAUACACCCAUGCUGACACAGAAUGGCAGUAAUGACUUGGCUGUGAACACAGAGCACAAUACAUCCUUGCUGAUACAGAAACGCAGUCAUGACUAUGCUGUGAACACCCAGAGCAUGAUAUAUCCAUGCUGACACAGAAAGGCAGUAAUGACUAUGCAGUGAACACCCAGAGCAAGACUUUUCCAUGCUGACACAGAAAGGCAGUACUGACUAUGCUGUGAACACCCAGAGCACAAUACAUCCAUGCUGACACAGAAAGGCAGUAAUGACUAUGCUGUGAACAUCCAGAGCACAAUACAUACAUGCUGAUACAGAAAGGCAGUUAUGACUCGGUUGUGAACACCCAGAGCAAGAUAUAUCCAUGCUGACACAGAAAGGCAGUAAUGACUUGGCUGUGAACACAGAACACGAUACACCCAUGCUGACACAGAAAGGCAGUAAUGACUUGGCUGUGAACACAGAACAAGAUAUAUCCAUGCUGACACAGAAAGGCAGUAAUGAUUUGGCUGUGAACACAGAGCACAAUACAUCCAUGCUGACACAGAAAGGCAGUAAUGACUUGGCUGUGAACACAGAGCACAAUACAUCCAUGCUGACACAGAAAGGCAGUAAUGACUUGGUUGAGAACACCCAGAGCACAAUACAUUCAUGCUGACACAGAAAGGCAGUAAAGACUUGGCUGUCAACACAGAGCACAAUACAUCCAUGCUGACACAGAAAGGCAGUAAUGGCUUUGCUGUGAAUUCAGAGCACGAUACAUCCAUGCUGACACAGAAAGACAGUAAUGACUUGGAUGUAAACACCCAGAGCACAAUACAUCCAUGCUGACACAGAAAGGCAGUAAAGACUUGGUUGUGAACACCCAGAGCACAAUACAUCCAUGCUGACACAGAAAGGCAGUAAAGACUUGGAUGUAAACACCCAGAGCACAAUACAUCCAUGCUGACACAGAAAGGCAGUAAAGACUUUGUUGUAAACACUAAGAGAUUCCUACAUCCAUGGGGUGUGCUACAGACGCAAAUUACGCCCACUAUUGUGAACAAGGUGCUUAAAGUGAACACGUCUGGUUUUGUUAUGAGCACUUAGCACUCCAAGCCCAAAAGGCCUCACAUUGAAUUGAUGCAAGAGAAGGCUUUAAAAAUGACAGCAGUUUUGUUGUGUGGUCCAGAAAAUGACAGCAGUUUUGUUGUGUGGUCCAGUACGCCCUUCGACUCUCAACCUUAAGAAAGCAGAACUCAAACUCGUCUCUUAGCAAUAUCAGCAAGGCCAGCAUGUCAUCUCAGCUUCUUGAGCUUCAGUGAACUUUACUAGCAAACAUGACAAACGUCAUUGAAGUGAAAGUCAAUGACAACCCCCUUCUUGCACAAAUACUACAACUCGCUUAAGAAAUUCAGCAUGAAGACGUCUUGUGUCAGACUACCAAGCCUCCUAUCAAUAUCUCCUCCCAUGUUGGCUACAUCAACACUUCCAACAGCAGAGCCUAGGUGAAUUCGACUUCCGUCUCAGCAUUGAUGUGGCUUAGCAACAAUUGGAUGAUUGCGUCAACAAAUUAGGCCGGACAAGUUGCUCGAACUGAAACGAUCUGAUUCAACAGAUAGAGCAGGCGUUGCCUGACACGUCCGUUAAUGUGACUGACCUCGAUAUGAUGUUCUCGAAAAAUGUGAACCUUAGGCCUGGAGAGCAGUAUGCGAUUGACGCCAUUCAACAACAGUUGUUGUCGGCAAUUCUCGGGUUUGGGGUGGCGACUUCGGCGUUGGGACUCACUCCAUCUCUGUCUAUGGCCCAGUCACAGCAGCAGCAGCAACAAGAACAAUAAGAAGUAUCUUAGCAGUGUUCUGCGAUAUGGGGCUUAAAUUGUCAUCCCAGAUUAGCCUAUGCAGACUGCACAUAAUUAAGUCCUAUUAAAUUGUCAUUCCAGAUUAGCCUGUGCAGACUGCACAUACAUUAAGUCCUAUUAAAGUGUCAUCCCAGAUUGUGCAGACUGCACAUACAUUAAGUCCUAUUAAAGUGUCAUCCCAGAUUGUGCAGACUGCACAUACAUUAAGUCCUAUUAAAGUGUCAUUCCAGAUUGUGCAGACUGCACAUACAUUAAGUCCUAUUAAAGUGUCAUCCCAGAUUGUGCAGACUGCACAUACAUUAAGUCCUUUUAAAGUGUCAUCCCAGAUAAGCCUGUGCAGACUGCACAUACAUUAAGUCCUAUUUUUUCCCAGAAUGCACUCAUAUAGUUCACUUAACAUCAGUCCGUUGUCUGCCUGAUUGAGGAAAAGUUCAUAGCAUCAAAUAGGAAUUCUGUGUUUUUAUAUUGAUCAAACUUGGUAAAUGAAUGCGAAUAACACUUGAUUUAAUAUAAGUUUUAGAAUGUCAAGCAUAGUUUGUCUAUUUUGCGGCCGAAAUUCAGCUCCUGUACCAAAAGUUUCUCCUUGCAUGAAAACUCCCGCUUUUCUAUUCAAUUUUAGUAAAACAAUUAUUUAAAUGCUUUCAGUACAUUAUAAAAUUAUUGUCUUCAUUAUUUUCCGAUAUUUAUUUAAAUUCUUUGGAAUCUGUUUUAAGAGCCGGUUCCUACAGGACCAGAUGCACUCAUAGAUUGGUACGCAGCUGAACAACAGGCUCUCUGGUCAGCUGGACCCGAACACCCAGGGAUUUUUUCUGGCCAAGUUUCAUGGGGCAAAUGCCCAAUGAGUUCUACCCGAGGGUGCAGCGUCUCUAGACCUGGGGCUCCAGACUGCCUUACUCAGGGGCCAAGAUUACUUUAUCUGCAAGAGGCCUUAUACUCGCAGGUUCCCCAAAUACAACUCAGCCACAACAUCCUAAUCGGACAACUUGUCAAUCAACAUGGAACAGUACCCUGAAAAUCACGACCAUCUAAAGAACUGUGUAACUGUGCCAAGCGUGACCCUUUAGAGAAAGGGGCUUCCAUGCCGAAGGUCAAAUUGGUACCAAUCUGGGCUCAAGCAGCAGCCUCAGUCUAUAAUCUAUUAUCUAUUAACAUUCCAAUCUCACAGUAAUAUUACAAAAACAUGACCUGCAAGGUGGAGAUGUGAAUACAAUGAGUAUUAAAUCCCACAAAUCAUACAGAGGUUAUAUGGGAGUCAAUUUUCUGUAAGUUGGUCUGUUAGAGGGGCGUUUCGUCUGCAUUUUAUGUAAACAUAGUUUUACCUCACCACAUCUACAUUUCUAAAGGGAAUAAGAUGAAACUUCAAUCAUGUGAGCCCCAUGAAGUCUGGGUUGAGGUUGUGAGCCCCAUGAAGUCUGGGUUGAGGUUUAGUUAUCAUUUUGUGACAAAGCUCCAACUUAUCAUUGGCCAAGUAACUCUCUUGCACAAUAUUAAUUUACUGUUUCUGUAUCUCACCAUACAUGGAA